GGUUCUACAACAAAACAAGGAAACCGACAGCUAAAACAAGAUACAAGGAUAGAUAGUUAGACACUUGAUGUGUAGUCUUAAAAAUACAAGAUCAUAUUUAACUCUUGGACCCCCUUAACACUUCACACAACAAACACCUAAAUCUUACAUUGAAAAACGGGGGACUUUACCACCCUAAUCACCAACACCUCAAGCCAAGAAUGCAAACACAAGUUACACUCACUUUCCUAGCCCUAGUUUCGGUUUUGGAGUUCCUCUCCCAAGUCUAGAGAGAACUUUAGAUGUUCAAAAUAUUACAACUCUCAAUAAUCAUAAACUCUCUAUGAAUAAAAUCUUAAGUUGUUAAAUUUAUAUUACAUUCCCAAAAGAGUUAAAAUGACGAAGCUGAUCUUUUAAUGAUUAAGGCUUCAAGGCUUCCCCUUGAGUGUAGACAUAGAAGCGGAUAUUUGAUUCUUCCACACUUAAGCUCGGGUCUUCUCUUAGUUGCCUUUGACAUACACAAAAAGUGUCCAUCUAUGAGAUCACACUUGUAUCAAAAAUAGUAGCAUGUGUUAGCAAAACAUAACAAAAGGGAGUGGUAAAAUUCAAUUAUAAGAAUUUAAAUGGUUUUUUCUUGAAGUAAAAUAGAUUUUAGAUUUUUAUAGAAUUUGAAUAAGCAAAAAAAAAUCAAGGUGAAAUAGACCAUUAUAUAUAUAUGUAUAUAUAUUGGUCACUUUUUUUUAUUUUUUAUUUUUGGUGACACAACCAAUGGAAAUAAUUUGAACUCACUAAAUUGAACCCACUAAGAACCACAUAGGUCCACCCCUGUGGCUCAAACAACCUUCAGGAUAGCUUAACCAAAUUAUACAUGCUAGAACAUGAAGGAGUGCCUUAUAGUAACAGGUAAAGUUGUUGCCAUGUGACAAAUAGGUCAAGGGUUUAAGCCAUAGGAAUAGCCUAUUGCAGAAAUGAAAGGUAAGACUUCAUACAGAAGACCCUUGAGGUCCGACCAAAAUUCCAGACCCCGCGCAUAGAGGGAGAUUUAGUGCACCUCGCGCAUAGCGGAGGAUUUAGUGCACCGGGUGUUUUAUCCUUUUUGUGAUUUUAUUUGAAACAAAUACUUUUGACCUCUUUAAACUAUUUCAGUAAUUUAAAAUUAAUUUUAAGAAAAUAAUAGAGUCACCACUUGACUUUUAUAAAGAAAUAUCAACAAAAACUUAGAAAUUUCAAAGAUUCAGAAAUAGAAAUAAAUCUUUGAAACAAGAGAAAUAAGUAAGAAUUUAUUUAACGCCCUAAUAAUAUUUUCAAGACACUUAUGAGUAUCCAUUUAAAAAUAAUUUACUUAAAUAUUUUGACUAACUUCAAAAAGUGGCUUGUUUUGCAAGGACUCGAUUUUGUAGGGAAUAUGAAAAUUAAUUAUGUUUUAAUACCUAAAUUGACAUUUAUUCAUCCAAGUGAAAAAAAUAUUUCACUUAAAUUAAAGAAAAAUAAAUUUAAACUAAAUUUCAAAUUUUUGAAAUUUAGAGGAAAACAAAUUUACAUAUUUUAUUGAAAAAAGAAUAAUAUUAUUUUAUUUAUUUUUGAGUAGGGAAGUUGAUUUUAUUAGAAAUAACACUUUUGGAAAAAAUGUGAAGGGAUUAUCAAAUUAAGAGAAAUUUAUUAAUUAGAAAGUUAAAUUUUUCUACAAAAAUUAGUUUUGUUUGGGUUAUAAUAAAAUUACCUUUAAUCCAAGUAAAAUAUAAGUCACAUGAACAAAUCAAACACCAUCUUGGUGUGAAAGAUUUUUAAUUUUUUGGAAGGCUCUAAGGAGAAAAAUUAAAGGAACCUAUUUUGAUACAUUUUGAACAAGAUAAAUUACGUGAGAUAAUACGAAUUAUGCGAAGGAAAACCAAGAUAAAAUAGAAUGGAAACACCUUAGGAAAUCACUUAGAUUAAUUAAAUAAAGUUAGUACAAAUUACACGCAACAAGAAAAAAAGGAAAGAUGGCAAAAUUUGAGAUUUGAGGCCCUGCUUUGGCCUAUUAAGUUGUCUAGAGGAUUAAAAUUCAUUUUAUGGACUUCUUCAGUCUAUUUUCGAUGUGUAUAGUGGUUUUAUGUCAUGGCUCUUUUUCUCUGUGUUUUCUAUAUAUACAAUGUAUAUCAGCAUAGAAAACUGUAUAUUUGCUUCCUAGUCUUUGUUCAUUGUUGUAUAUACAAUACUCUUUUAUAUCAGCUAUCUUCAAACUAUGAAACCUAUAUAUUUGUUGUAUACCAUUGAAUACACCAUGUCUCUUCAUUAGUCAAUCCUUUUUUGAACUUUUUGUAAUGACCAUUUUCGUUGUUAUGUACAAACCUCCCGUUAAAAUUUUGUAUUAAAAUUUUUCUAGAAUUUUAUGUUAUAUAUUUCAAGCUAAGCUAGUUCGAGUGAAAUCAAAGUAAUUUAUGGUCUAGGGGAAUUCUAGAAUUAUUUGGGCAAGUUGGGUGAUUUUUUAUUUGAUCUUCCAUUGGCUAAGACGAUAAAGAACCCAUAGGAAUUUAUGGAAUUGAAUUUGGAUGAUUAGUGUGAGUGUCAGACCUGAAGGGAAUGGGUCGUGACAAUGUUUGUAUAAGAGACUAGGUUCACCGAUCUCAACGUACCAAAAUGGGUCCAAGAAGUCUCGCAGAAUGGUAUGGAGACGUCUGUUCUUUUCUUGGGGAAGCUAUAGGACUUUAGGAAAUCUGUCAUUAUUGUUUCUUUUUUGCCAUAACUUGAUUCCAACUGGUAUCUUACAAUCCAAAUUGGUAUCUAAUCCUCUUCAUUCUUUUGUCCGCAGAUGGUGGAGUCAUCCCAACAACCCCCAUACUAUAUGCUCCAACUACAGAGCUAGUCAUAAGAGCAAGAGGAUGAGUGAGACAGAGUGGUAUGGGAAGAAGGGGAUGAGCCACACCCGCCAGUGGUGAGGCUCAAGAAGUAACUGGCCAGAUCUUUAAGAGGUCAGUAUCACCUUCCCAAUUUUAGGAUCAUGUUAUAGAAAGAGAAGUAGUAGAGCAGAAGUGAGUGGAGCCUGAGGUGGCGGGUGAACCAAGAGUUUCAAGGUUAUCCCGUGUGUCCACAGAGGUUGUUUGGUAGGUGUUAGCUUUCUGAGUGGGUUAGCAGGGACUGGAGAAACACCCACUAUACCGUCUUUUUAUGCUUUAAUUGUUCAUCUACUAUAAUUAUGGCUCUAAGAAUGGGUGAUGCUUCAGGGAACAAUGCUUCUCUUCAUCCAAUUUUGGAUUUGGUGAUGACCGAUACAGAACACGAACUAUUGACAAAAUUUUUGAAGAUGAAACCUCAAACAUUCCAUGGUACCAAUUUUGUAUAUGAUUUCGUUCAUUAUUGAUGACUGUGAGAGGUGGAGAAGCAUGCUAAGUAAUGGCGAAGGGUGUACGUAGAAUGUCGGUCACAAAUUUUGGAUUUGUUGACUUAUGAAUAAUUUUAUGCCUUAUUCUUCUUAAAGUAUAUGCUUUAUUCUCUUCGAGAUAGAAAUAAUGAUGAGUUCUUAGCUUAGUAGGAGGGUGACGUAUCUAUUGAAGACUAUGAGGCUAAGUUCCAUCCCUUCUCUACUAUGCCUCUUAGUUAUUUACUACUAAGGAGGAGAGGAUUCCUCUCUUUGUUAAGGAUUUGAAUUAUGAUCUUGAGUUCUUUCUGUGCAUAUGAUAUCCACACAAAAGGGUUCAAUGAAGUUUCUGACUAUGUGAAGAAGUUGUAUGGAACGCAAGCAGAUCAAGAUAAGAUGUUAGCCAAGAUGUCCCACAAUGUUGAAAAUUUUAGUCUAUCUUAAAAGAUAUCGUAAAGUUCAAUACUUUCAGUAGUUCAAAGGACGGGGUGACAUACUCAUACUUCAUUGUAAUUCAAAGCAUCUUAAAAAGUCUUAAAAUAUUAUAAUUUUAUCAUUUUACUUUUCAAAUUAAUAUAUAAAAGAAUACCAUUUCAAAUAGUCAUUUCAAGUAUCAAAACCCUUUACUAGUGAUUAAAAAACAAUUUAUAUGAAGAGUGAAAUCAAUAUUUAGCCUUUCGUAAAUGUAAUUCUCAACCCUAUUUUUAAACCAUCAAUAUAAUAUAUAUAUAUAUAUAUAUAUAUGUAUAUAUAUAUAUAUAUAUAUAUACAUAUAUAAUCAUCAACUUUUAGUAGUAGUUGAAGUAGGGGCAUUCAAUAUACCUUUUUGACGAAGAACGAAAAAAGGAACUGUGAUAAUUAGCCUUAGACCUUACUUCUUGAAUCCUUGAGAGUCCUUAGACUUAGAGUGGACAAGAGAAGAGUUGUUUUUAAUUUGACUUAGGACAAAUCUCGAUUAGAAAAAAUCUUUGGAGAGCCUUAUUGAACUUGUGAGCUUUGGAGAUUUGGAAUUUGAAAAACCCUUCUUGAAUUUAUGAGAAUUAGGAGAGAAAAGAAAUUAGGAUUUAGGAAUGAAUCUCCUAGUUUAGGAGGUCUUUAGGGAUUUAAAAUGAGUUGAGGGAGUUACACGGGGUGUGAAAAAUACUUUUUCCCUGAGUUAAUUAGAGAACUAUAGAAGUUUUACAUCUAGGAGAGAGAGUGCAUGGCCAAUUGUGUGGUACCCAACCGUGCCUUACAUGGCUCAGUAUGCAUCUUGGAUAAUGUCUCACUAAAAUACACAUAACUUGUUCCUCUGAAAAUAGAUUGAUGAAUGGUCAGAGGAGUUGGAAAGAAGACUAGGAAACUUUUAAUUUUGUAGGUAUUAGGCAACCUUAGUAUAUUCUAGGAGCAAUGGCUUUUAGAAGUUGACCCAAGUAAGAACUUGUACUAAAACUCAAUCAGUAUGAAAUUUCUCAACUCAACUUUGAGUUAGGAGAUUUCUAUAACCUCAAUUCAUCUCCAAAACUCCUCCCACACUAAAGAAUUGAUAUUUAGACUUAUAUCUAAGUUGAAAUUAUUGGGUUCAGGUCUAUACGGGUAUAAAAGAUGGUUCAAAUUCUAUUUCAAAAGUGUGGAAUGUAACACAAGCCUAGGACUUGGACACAAUAGGCAUCCCAGAUCAAUGAAGGCCCAAGAAGAGUCUUAGCAUCUCAUCAUAGGCAUAGGCAUCGGUAACAUGUAGAAAUAGGCCCAUAAAAUAUUAAGUUCAACUUAAAUAAGAAUUGUAAAACCAAGACUUGAAAUACGACAUAAAGACAACUUUCUACAUCAGUCUAUGAAGCCAAAAACAUUAUUAGUGAAAUUCCUAAGUCGGUAAUGGCCCCGGUGAUACCAUAAGACAAAUGAACAAUGUCUAAAUGAAUGAAAGAAAACAUAUGUCUUCCUAAGGAUAGAAGGAUCACUAAUUGUUACUUGUUGUCCCACGGAGAACCUAAUGUUGCAAGAGUCAGGAAUAAAUGCCUUCAAACCUGAAUCAUGAAAAGAUAUAGCAUCCGACGAUGGUUUGUGUGACAGUACUAGCAUGAGACCUAGAGAAAGGGACAAAGUCAUUUAUAAAGCAAGUCCUAAAGUUCAUAGAGGAAGUUUGGAGAAAGAGAUUCAAAAUAUGAAAUUAUAAUGAAUUAUAAAAUUUAUGUAAUACCCCGUACUAAUCCUAGCUCGACUCAUCUCAUAGUUGCAUGCUUAAGGGGCUUAUGGCUUGAAAUUUUUACUAAGUGUUGGAGACUUAGUCAUUUUCAAGACCCCUAAACUUUGAGAAUUUUCAUUUGGUCUUUCCAACCCCGAGACAUUAGUUCUUUAGUUAAUUCAUGUUCAAGGAAGUAAGAAGUAUAUCUAGGGGAAGUUUCAAAUUUUUUGAAUGAGGAUUGGGUCACUUCUUAAUUUCAAUUCCAGAACCUCACCGUGAUAGCGGUGCGUCGCGGUGGGUAUGGCGAUGGGCAUAUCAUUGCAUCGCAGUGAAAGUGUUUUUGUCCAGUUCUUGAUUUAUAAUUUUAGCAUAUGUAUCAUUAUCUUUAUCCUAGUGUGUAAAGUGCUUAUUAGGUUAAAAGUGUUCAUAGAAAUCACUUAGAGCAAAAUUGAGUUAAGAGCCUUUGAUUCGUUCCAAACUUGGUAUUCCAUUCUACAAGGGUCAACUUUGAAAGUGUAUAACUUUCUAUGUACGUAGAAUUUUUUAGCUCAAGACCUACCAAAUUGUAGAUAAAUGAAUUAGCUUUCCAACUAUACCAAUUUUGUCUUAAUCUGAUACCCGAGCAAAAAGUUAUGAUCAUUUUCGUCAGAACCAACAGGUCACCACGAUAAGACCACAUCAUGAUGAACCUUUAAUCCGUAUUUUAGUUAUGAAUUUUUUGUUUAAAUGAUGAAGGAGAACUUGGGUCUUUUCCAACCUCAACCCAAUUCAUAAAAAUAUGACCUACGAGUUCAAUUAGGGCAUUUUAUGCCCAUAUUCACCAAAUUUCCUCUCAAGAACAUACCUUAAUCAUCCCCAAGUUCAUCCAUUCCAUCAUCCUCUCUUCAAGGAAACCAAGAAUUUAAGUUCUCUAACCAAGAAUUUUCAAGAAAACUUUCAAGAUCAUCUCCAUGGCUUUUAAGGUCAAGGUUUCACCAAGUCAAGUCUAUUAAGGUAUGUGAGGUUAUGAACAAGGGUAUCCUUUCACCCUUGUGCCCAAAUUACAUGAUUUUAAGAUUUUAUUUAAUUAUUUUAAAGUAGGGUUCAUACCCAAGUGUGUGUGUAUAUAUAUAUAUAUAUAUAUAUAUUCUUGAAGCAUGGGAUUAUUAUGAGAUUUAAAGCAUUGAGUAUAUCAAGAGUUACUUAAGUUUAUGUUUUAACCUAUAAGUUUUAUAUUAUACAUGAGAUUGCACUAUCUUGACAUGAUAUUGUUCAAGUAUUUCAAGAUUAUUACUGAGCAUAGAGUUUAAAGCAUGGGUUUUAAGCCGUAAAUUUAUGUGUUUAGAUUUCAAGAAGAUCAUGCUCUUAAGUUUUAUUUGAUAAGUUUAUACCAAGAAUGAGUUUGAGAUUUUAAGAAGACUAUGAUAUUAAGCUUCCUUGAUGGUUUUAUACCAAGAUUUAAAGAAAUAUCGAUCUUUUGAUCCUAAGCUAACAUAUGGAAUCCACACUUGUUCAUUUUGAUUACAGAUUAAAGCAUAGAGAAGCAUAGCUAGUUUUUAUUAUAAACCCUUAUGCUAUUUUAAGAUGCAUUUCCAAAGAAAAAGUAUGAGAAUAUAAGUAUGAUGGGAGUAGUAUUUAGCACCAAGUUGGGUAUGAGUCCAAGUCACAUGUCCCAGAACUACGUGCCACCAUAGGUUUAAGUGCCCAUAGUGGGAUAAGUAUAGUGAUCACUUAAGUUAAGAUACUAUUCCGAUGGCAAGGGUAGGAUGGAUCUCCCUAACAUGGGUAAGACGUUGGACUCCAUGAUAGCUCACAUGGUUUAUGUAGAUUAGAAAAAACUCCCGAAAAAAGAAAAAGUAAAAGUAAAGCUUUUAGAAACUAAAUGUGCUGGCUCACAAAGUUUAUUCAGUAUGCUUUAUUAUUUAUGUUUUAUGAUUUUUCAUCUUUCAGUUUUAUUCAAUCCCAAGGUGAGUCGCUUACACUUAGCUUGCAUUAUUUGAAAAUCUAUGAAUAUAUUAAGUUAUUAUUUUAUUUAUGCAUUCACCCCCACAUACUCAGUAUAUUCCAGAAGUAUUGAUCCGCAUAUAUGUCUAUGUGCUACAUUGUAUCAUAAUGUAGGUACUAGUUGUAGCUCACACAUCAUCAUCAAACAGUUUGCAGCUUCCCGUCAGCAUGUGAUGAAUACUUUUGAUUCAAGGGCUCAAGUCAAUCAUAGUUCGAGUAGCAUUUUUUUUUCUUUAUUCAAUCGUAUUGAUUUGGGAUAGAUGGGGGUCAUGUCCCGGCUACCUAUAGUAAAUAUUAGUAGUGGUUUAAUAGACAGUCAGUAUAGUUGAUGUUUGAAAUUUAAGUUUGAUUUUGUAUAACCAGAGUUGUAAUCAUUUUAUACAAUUUUGUACUGUACCUAUUUAGUAAAGACAUCUCUUUCACUUAUUUCUUUUAGAUUAAUGUAUCUUAUGUAGUUGCUCAUGGGUUAUGCCAUUAUAUGGGUUACCUUGGGAUAUUUAUGGUCCUAAGCACCGUGUGACAUUUCGGGGGUAGUCUCGGAUCAUUACAAUUUACUUCUGAACUAUAUAGCACUAACUCUAAGUAAUCGAAGGGAUAUAUGGGUCUGUAUUCACCAACCUAUGGGGGCCCAAUCGAUGUUUGCUGCAUGAGUAAGAUAAACAUAAUUUGGACAUCAUAAUAUUAUCAUAAAGGGAAUAAACAUCAUAAGGUUGUUCCGUUAGGAGUGAACCAUCCCUACAUUGGCAAAACAUAAUUUUUUGGCGUUGGUCACGAAGAUUUACACCUUCUCUGUGAACUACAUAAUUAUAUUUAAGCCCAAUUUAAAAUAAUUUUCAUAACCAUUUAUCCCUGGAUCUUUUGUAAAGGUAUUUAUACUUUGGUAUCGUCAUACUAAGACUUGCAAGUUAUCCAUAUCAUGCCAAAAUCAUUAUCUUAAAAUAUUAUAGACUUUAAUGCCGCCUUUUCAAGUAUUUGAACAUAGUUAACAUUCCUCAUAAAGGUUAAAGACUCCAUAUUUAAAUAACAGUACUCUUAAAAAAACAUAGAAUAUAGAUAUUUGUUCCUUCUUACCAAAAUCAAAAUUUGAGUAACAAGGUGAAUUACAAGAGGAAUAUAAAUUUUUGAAUUCAAUACACCCCAAUAAAAUUUCUUAUUCAUAAAGUUUCAUAUUUCAAACAAUAAUCUCCAAAUCUCAAGUUCCAUUAACAAUUCAAGCCUUAGUUCAUCAAAAAGAGGUUUUCAAUUUUAAAUAAUUCAUCCUUUUGAAAAUCAAUCAAAAACCCAUUUUUAAAACUCAUAUAAACUAAUUUAAUUAUUGGAGAAAUCGAUCUAGCUUUUCUCACUCUAUCCCACCUAAUUGGUGACCUACACCUCCUGCUCUAAAAUGCCUCAAAUGGUACCAUCUGGCUACUAGAGUGAUAAUUAAUAUUGUAUGAAAAUAUCCUUAAAAUCAAUAACACAAUCUCUUAAAAUAUCAUCUAAAUUUUGAAUAGUACAAUCGACUUUCCCUGUUUCAACAUGAAAAGCGGUGGUAAGAUUCACUUGUAUGUUCAAACCCUUCUAAAAAGAUCACUAAAACUUAGAAGAAACUUUCCUACCUCUAUCGAAUUUUAGGAAUAGAGGGGCUCAAUGAAAUCUAACAAUCUGUAAAAUGUACAACUAUGCAUAAUAUUCUUUCGAAUAAGUCGUCCACAUUGGCAGAAAAUGAGCAGUCUUGGUCAUUUUGUAAACGAUGACCCAAAUAGAAUCAUCUUGGUUGUGAGAACGCCGGAGACCCAUGACAUUACAAAAAUAUUAUAGACUUUAAUACUGUUUUUUCAAAUAUUUGAACACAUUUAACAUGCCCCAUAUAGGUUAAAGACUCUACAUUUAAAUAGCAAUGCUUUAUAAAAAAAAAAAAAAAAUAUAGAUAUUUCUUCCUUCUCACCAAAUCAUGAUUUGAGUAACAAGGUGAAUUACUAUAGGAAUAGAAAUUAUUGAAUCCAAUCCACCCCAAUAAGCUUUCAUAUUCAUAAAGUUUAAUAUUUCAAACCAUAAGCCCCAAUUCUCAAGUUCCAUUAACAAUUCAAGCUUUCUCAAAAAGAGUUUUUUAAUUUUAAAUAAUUCUUCGUUUUUAAAAUCAAUCAACAAUGAACAUUUAAUACUCACAUAAACCACUUGAAUAAUUGGGGAAGACAUCCAAGAAUAAUUUUGUAGAAAGAGGGUUGCUCAAAAUAUCUUUUGUCGGAAGGAAUUUGAGAAAGGUUGAAUUUUGAGACAUGAAUCGUGAACACUAGUUGACUUUGCUUCUAAGAGUUUUGAGAAAGAGUAGAAUGUAUUUUGACUAUUGAAAACGCAUUUAGGGUUUUGGGGUUGUUUAGUAUAGGUAGAGGACGGUUUUUAAUCAAGGAAAGGACCCUAAUGGCUCUAAAAUAUAAAAAUUUAAUGAAAUUCCAUCAGGCCAUGGGGGAGGGGGAGAGGGAGGGGGCUGCACGGCUUGCCCCCCAUUGUGUGCCCUUCUCUUGCAUAGCGUUCUUCCCAGAGCAAAGGUGAAACAGAAGGCCCACCAGCCUGGCUGUGUGGCGUGGAGCUUGAAUCCAAGUAUCCCUGAAUGUGAUGCAUGGGCCCGAUAUUAUGUCCUAAUCAUCCUAACCAUCCCCUAACUCAUCCUUAAUGAUUUAUACUCAUUUUUAUUCAUUCUAAUAAGACAUUCAAAUGUACGGGUUGUUACAUGUAACGACCCUAAAGGUGAUACUUUGUUUAUAUCUCGUUUUCCAUCUUUUGAACCUUACCAUAAUUUCAACUUUGUCUUUGCAAUUUGUGGGCAUGGAAGACAUAUAACUCUCAAGGUGAUUGGAUGUGUUUUGGAGAAAAUUUUCAGUUUGGAAGGUUUAAGAUUUGGAGAAUUAGUCAAAUAUAAAAUAAUGGUUUGGUUGGUUAGGAUUUGAGUUUCGAUGAUUCCAACUAAGUUCGAAGGGCAAUUUAUGACUUUGUCGGAUAUGGUUUGCAUGGAUCCCUAAGGUGUAUGAGUGUGGUUUGGUCCGUUGUGUUGUAUUCUAACUUUAUUAAAGUUUAGAGUUGACCACGGACAAUAUUUGAUCAAGAUGGUGAUUUGAUGAGUCCAACAGAUUCAGAAUGUGUUUCAUGGUCAAUUUGCAUUAUUGGUUAAUGUUCAUAAAUUUCGAAUGCAUUUUGAGAGUUUUGGAAAUGUUGGUUUGUUGUUUCUAGUGCAGCUACAAAUACUUCUUUGAGUUUGUGAGGCCUUGGUUGCUUUCAUGGAGAUAGAUUAUCAUUGGUCAUCCCAUUCUAGAUAUCCCGUCACAUGCGAGGGUUAGGGUCAUCUAGUCCAGAUCAACAUUAUUCUUCACAUUCUCGAGGUAUUUGGUUGGGUCAGUGGUUGUGCUUGCGCAGAGUAAAGAGUACAUGGACAGAAUUUAAAAUCAUACUAUAUUUCAAAACGUGGACUUCAUAUAUUUGUUUGGGAGCUAGAGAGCUCAAUUUUGAGAGAUUUUUUAUGGGACUUCAAUAAAUCCAUAUUUAAUAUUCUUCCACUAAUUAAUAUCUCCCUUAUUUCAUGAAUUAAUUUGAAUUUGGGUAUUGGAAACUGGAUUUUAUGCCCUGAAGCAUUAAAAUUGAUAAUUUUCAUGAUUUGAGGUUUGAUUCGUGCUCGAAAUUUGUGAUUUUUGAUGCAUAAGAUUUUAUGUAAUGCAUAAACAAAUUUUUAAUUUUAUUACCAGCAUUCUCCUCGAGGCUGAGAAUGACACUUCAAAUUGAUUUUUUAUCUAAAAUUUUUAUAUAGUCGUAUGAAUGUCGAUAGACUCGUAUACUAAUAUAGAGUCCAAUCCGAUGCCCUUCAAAACGAAAAGGAGGCAUUAUUGUGAUGGUUCGUGACUUGUUUCCCUUCAAAAGAAAAAGGAGGCAUUAUUGUGAGGGUUCGUGACUCGUUACUUGGUAUCCAAGGUAGUAUGUGGCUUACCUUGUAAACUCUGCUGGGAGAUGAUUAUUGUAUAUUGAUUAUGAGGGCUUUGGCAAUAUCAGGAUUGCCAAAUUCUAUUGUGUUGAUUAGUAUUUGGACACUAGUGUAUUUUGAAAGGUACUUUAUGACGUACAAAUAUUGGAAGAGCUACUUCUUGAUGUGAAUCUAGGUUGGAAAUUAGUUGAUAGACUUUAUAGACAUUGUUUGACUUGUUUGUAUAUGGCUAGAAGAGCCUUGAGUGAAUUGUCGAUUGUUGACUCGAGAUACUAAUAUAUCAUGAUUGGAAUGGAACAAAUGAUGCGGUUAAGUGAUGAACCCUGAAAAAUGUAUACGUAUUCAUACAUAUUCUUACCAUUUUAGUGGAUACAUGAUAUCUAUCGUCCUAUGGUGACCAUUGACUUGAUUUUUAUGAACUUCCUUAUGCAUUUUGAAAAGCUUUUAUCUAUUCUUCUGAAGUCAAGUGGUAUGGUGGUGGAAAUGAAUCUAACAAGUUGAUAUAAUGCAAAAACGAUAAAAUGAUUCCAGCUUGUAGUAAAGCUUAGGCAACAACAACAACAAACCCAGUGUAUUCCCACCUAGUGGGGUCUGGGGGGGUAAGAUGUACGCAGUCCAUACCUCUACCUCUGAUGAAGUAGAAAGGCUGUUUCCAAUAGACCCCCGGCUCAAGGCACGAGAUACCACACAAAUACAUAGUGCAGCACAAAAGCAGAUUACAUAACAUAAAUACGGCACCCAUAAGUAAUAUAAAGCAGAGGAAAGCAGGGGAAAGCACACAAAUUCGUAAUACAACAUGGAACACGGAACACGGAAUCAUGACAAGAAUAAAACCUCAAUGAUGAAAAAGUGUUUCGGGCAAGUAUAUGUACCACGCGAGCUCCCCAUGGAUCACUGCUCCUGAAAAAUCUCAAUGGUGAAAGAGCAUGUGUAUCCCAGGUUAUUAUUGGCCAUUGCACUUCAUAACAUCUUACUUACAUGAUUUAAUAUGAUUUUUCUAAUUGAGCAUACAAGAAUACAUUUCUUUUC
rnacentral:lncRNA from 1 species